UUCACACUUCCCGCUCCCGGUUUGUAAGUUGUUUUAGCCGUCGCGAAUCGUAUUAAUUUGCUAAACAUAAAUUUAAAACCCUCAAACAUCUCGAGCUAAAGUUUCCAUUGAUGGAAUGGAAACUAUACAGCAGUACCGCUACCGGUGAAAGCUUCAUUUAGGACAGGUCGGUUACCCAUGAAGAGCAGAACAUCGCACCCUUUGUUGUUUUCAUAUACCAGAACCACCAAACAGUUUUCGAAAACGAGAAUAAAUCGGUCGAAGAAUGAUUGACCGCCACAGUAAUCAACAACCUGAAGAGUGCCUGAAUCAAAACCAGCCUACAGAGGUCCAGAAGUGCAUAUAAGCUUUCAUGGCCAGAAUAUGGCCGAUCGCGACACCGCGACACGAGCCGUCGCAAAUCUAUACUGGUGAACUGUUUCAAAGAUGUCAAACACGGAGAAACUGGAUACCUCUCGGACUUGAAAGAUAAGUUGUUUUUUCUGACCUUGUCGGGGCAUGGCGCUAUGUUCAUCGAUACCUGCAAGGCGUCCCCGAAAAGCCUUGAGG